rnacentral:rRNA from 1 species
GCGGUGAAAUGCGUAGAGAUCGGGAGGAAUACCAGUGGGGAAGGCGCCCUUCUGGACUGACACUGACGCUGAGGUGAGAAAGCAUGGGUAGCAAACAGGAUUAGAUACCCUGGUAGUCCAUGCCGUAAACGAUGUCGAUUAGCCGUUGGCGUCCUUGUGACCUUUGUGGCGCAGUUAACGCGAUAAGUCGACCGCCUGGGGAGUACGGCCGCAAGGUUAAAACUCAAAUGAAUUGACGGGGGCCCGCACAAGCGGUGGAGCAUGUGGUUUAAUUCGAUGCAACGCGAAGAACCUUACCUACUCUUGACAUCGUGCGAACUUGGUAGAGAUACCUUGGUGCCUUCGGGAGCGCACAGACAGGUGCUGCAUGGCCGUCGUCAGCUCGUGUUGUGAAAUGUUGGGUUAAGUCCCCGUAACGAGCGCAACCCCUAUCCCUAUUUGCCAGCGAUUCGGUCGGGAACUCUAGGGAGACUGCCGGUGACAAACCGGAGGAAGGUGGGGAUGACGUCAGGUCAUCAUGGCCCUUACGAGUAGGGCUACACACGUGCUACAAUGGCCGGUACAAAGGGUUGCGAAGCCGCGAGGUGGUGCUAAUCCCGAAAAGCCGGUCUCAGUCCGGAUCGGAGUCUGCAACUCGACUCCGUGAAGUCGGAAUCGCUAGUAAUCGUGAAUCAGAAUGUCACGGUGAAUACGUUCCCGGGCCUUGUACACACCGCCCGUCACACCAUGGGAGUGGACUGCACCAGAAGUGGUUAGCUUAACCUUCGGGAGAGCGAU